GUAUCCACAGAGGAUCGGCCUAGGAACUACAGGUGUGUACCACUACACCAGCAGUCCUGGACUUCACAUCAUCUCUGUAUUAAUGACAGUACCCGACCCAGCGUACAUAUUGUCUCAUCUUCCCAACAAGAUAUUCUCUGCCUGAGCAUACAGGAUGAAUGUGCUCUCCAUCGUGUGCCAUGCCCUACUCUAAGCAUGUUUUGUGCUUUACACUAAAUGACCUGCUCUAAGCACUUCG